UUGGGUUAUUUUUAAGAAAUUGUGCAACAAUUGAGUUUUUGUUUAAUAAACGCUUAGAAAAGGUUCAGUGUUCAGUGUUGCCAAUUUAAUUUAAAAAUCGUAGGCUAAUUUGAUCAGAAAUGUAACUAAAUGUGUGACACUAAAAUAUGUUAAAUAAUUAUUGUCAUGUGUAUUCAGCGUCAAAUAAACUAGAAAACAAAAGUUUUGGCAAAACUUACAAUUUGUGAAUUUUCAAAAUUGACGUUGUACAAUGUUAUUUUUAGAAACGUAAGUUAUUUUGCGUGUUUUAACGCGUCAGCAUUGACGAGACAGAUUAGAGUGCAAAAUACUAUACAAAUUUGCCAAAUGUGGAAAUUUUUAAUUAUUCGCAAUUUUGUCAAUUUUUUCUCUCCCAGAAGAUUCUGUCUCUGUAAGAUAAAUGUCGCCAACUUAAUGUCACUUUGAGAAUGAAAAAAAUGACUGAAAGCAUGGUGUGUUUAACGACAGAAUCGUUUCAAACUAAAGUAUAGAGCAGCGGACAAAAAGAUCUACUAAAAGGAUAAAUGAGUAAAUGAUUAAUCACUGAAAGGGAAAAUACCCAUUGGGAGCCUAUAUUUGUGUAAAAACAACAACAAAUACCGAAUUAACAAAACGGAUGUUUAAUCAACCGCUUGAAAAUCCAAUGAUGGAGCAAACUGUUUGAUAAAAAUUGGAGUUGUCUCCUGGUGUUCUAUUCUGCUCAAUGUCGCAAGUGAAAAUCCUUUUCUGAGCCAUGCAGAUGUGAAUCAGGUUUAUUUCUUGUCGACUAGACAUGAACAGACGCCACGCUUAGUGACUCCAUGGGAUUUAUUUACUCCAGCCCGCAAAAAAAGAACUCCGGUUCAUACGCGACUAGCGUAAACAGAAAAUGAGAAAAAACGCACAACUGCAACUGGCUCAUUUCGCUCGUGAACGGACCUGUAGUCCAAAAGGCAAAAAGCUGCCGCAUUUGCAAUAAUUGCCUGACCUAGUUCCGGUUUUAUUUUUUGUUGUUGUUUUGUUGAUGCAAGGAUUUGGUCAAGAUGAGGAAUUCCUCAAGUUCCGGCCUCAACAUCGGCCACUCCUUCCUGCGGGAGCGCCGACCUGGAAGUCGGACGCUUCUGCUCAAUGACUCACUCUUUUACUCGAAUUUUCGAGCUCUUAAAAUUCCGCACCAAUCGCGGUCACCACCCCGAGAUUUUGAAAAAAAAAGUCUAAAAUUAAAUGUGUUCUGGUUAAAAAUAAUAAAAACAACGUAAUAACACUAUUAA